AUUGAACGCUGGCGGCAGGCCUAACACAUGCAAGUCGAACGAGUGGCGGACGGGUGAGUAAUGUCUGGGAAACUGCCCGACGGAGGGGGAUAACUACUGGAAACGGUAGCUAAUACCGCAUACCAUCGGAUGUGCCCAGAUGGGAUUAGCUAGUAGGUGGGGUAACGGCUCACCUAGGCGACGAUCCCUAGCUGGACUGAGAGGAUGACCAGCCACACUGGAACUGAGACACGAUCCAGACUACAACGAGAGUCAGAAGUAGGGAAUAUUGCACAAUGGACGCAAGCCUGAGGCAGCAAGGCCGCGUGUAUGACGAAGACCUUCGGGUUGUAAAGUACUUUCAGCGAGGAAGCGUUACUCGCAGAGAAAGCACCGGCUAACUCCGUGCCAGCAGCCGCGGUAAUAC
rnacentral:rRNA from 1 species